AAAACAAUAGCUCCAUCCAUCCCAGCAUCAGCUGUUGAAUGGGAGCCUGUGGGAAUUUGGCUGUUCACAGCCCACAGAGCUCUGUGCUGUGGGUGCACGUUGGGUACACGUUGUUUCAUGUAAAACUGGUAGGGAAGGACUGACUGAGAGAGUUGCCUCAAGCUGACAAAGAAGGAAGUAAAGAAGAUGGAGGAGGACAGCAAAGAAGGGAUGGAUUUGGAGCUCCUGGAGAGGUCGGCAGAGCUCUGAGGAAAGAGGAUCCAGGCAGGACUUCAUCAUGGUGACAACUUUCUGUGGAAGCUGCAAUCCAUUUGGCAGUCGGGAACACGUUCAGCUCUUGCCAAAAAGAUCACCAACAGCCAUUGGCACUUUGGUUAUGUGGUUUCCCAAGUGGAAGAAGGGAUGACAGAGCUACACCCGCGGUGCCUCCUGCUCAACCCCUACAACUCAGCACUGACACAGCUGAGGCUCAGCCCGGCAGAGCUUGCCCAUCCAUGCCGAAAUCUGAAGUUCCCAGCAUGGACAUACGUGGUGAUUUUCCGCUCCGCCGUCUGCAGCAGCUUCCAUCACCUUAAGUGCAAAGAUCUGCCUGAAUGUGAACUACUGGAUCAGGAUUUACUGCCAUGCACGGGAGCAGCAGUGGGAAGAACUUCUGGAC
ensembl:lncRNA